UUACGGUUAUAUCACGUUGAAACACCGAUUCUCGUUGGAUCAAUGAAGUUAAGCAACUUUGAGCCUGGUUAAAACCGCGAUGAAUGACCGUUAGGGAACACCAUGUGCUGUAAG